GUUGUGGCUCAGUGGUACAGCACUUGCCUAGCAUGUGUGAGGCACUGGGUUCAAUUCUCAGCACAACA
rnacentral:tRNA from 1 species